UUAAGCAUAUUAAUAAGGGAAGGAAAAGAAAUUAACUAAGAUUCCCUGAGUAGCGGCGAGCGAAACGGGAAAAGCCCAGCACUAAGCCCUUCGGUCGUUCUGGCCGACAGGGGAUGCAGUGUAUGGAAAGCCUAUUAUCUUAUAUGACGGUGAUACGUUCAAGUCCAUCUUGAAUGGGGCCAUUAUACCCAUAGAGGGUGCCAGGCCCGUAGCAGCUAUUGCCAAUAUAAGAAGGUUUUUCCAAAGAGUCGUGUUGCUUGAUAGUGCAGCACUAAGUUGGUGGUAAACUCCAUCUAAGGCUAAAUAUAACCAUGAGACCGAUAGCGAACAAGUACCGUGAGGGAAAGUUGAAAAGUACUCUGAAUAGAGAGUUAAAUAGUACGUGAAACCGCUUAGGGAUUAAGCCCGAUGAACCUGAAUAUCCGAAUUGGGAAAUUCAAUACUAUUUUAGUAGCUUAUUCUGAAACCGGUGGCGGUAACAGGGCAAUAAGCAAAACAAUGGUAUGCACUUUUCCCAUUGUAGGACAUUGCGAUCCAUUAAUUUUAAUUUAGCAAAAGGCCCAAACGAUUUGUUCGUUCUGUCUGUGCUAAUUUUGGUUGGCAUAUGAAUGAAGUCGUAAUUAUGGUGUCCUGCUAAAUAAUUGAUGGAACUUAACGAUCAUGCUAAAUACACGCCUUGUGUUAUCACGGUUUUUGUUCGCUCGUCGAACAUAAGCGCAGUGAUCGCAUGUAUAUGAUCAGCGAUGCGUUAGAUUUGGGAUACCUUCGGGACCCGUCUUGAAACACGGACCAAGAAGUCUAACAUGUGUGCAAGUCAUUGGGUAUAUAUUGAUGAAACCUAAAGGCGUAAUUAAAAUGACUAUUAUUUUAUAAUGGGAUUACAAGUGAAAUUAAUUGAUGCGUAAGUAUUUAUUAAUAUUGCUUCUCCAUCCCGGGGCAUUCUAUACGAACAUGGUUAAAGCAAUUUGGCCCUCUGUUCAAGAGCGUACCUUGAGCAUACAUGCUGUGACCCGAAAGAUGGUGAACUAUACCUGACCAGGUUGAAGUCAGGGGAAACCCUGAUGGAGGACUGAAGCAGUUCUGACGUGCAAAUCGAUUGUCAGAGUUAGGUAUAGGGGCGAAAGACCUAUCGAACCAUCUAGUAGCUGGUUCCCUCCGAAGUUUCCCUUAGGAUAGCUGGUGCAAUGAGAAAUUAUAUAUAUAAUCUUAUCUGGUAAAGCGAAUGAUUAGAGGCUUUGGGGCCGAAACGACCUCAACCUAUUCUCAAACUUUAAAUGGGUAAGAACCUCAUCUUUCUUGAUCUGAAGAUAUAGAGGUUUAGAUAUAUUGUGCCCAGUGGGCCACUUUUGGUAAGCAGAACUGGCGCUGUGGGAUGAACCAAACGCGAUGUUACGGCGCCUAAAUUAAUGACUCAUAUUGAUACCAUGAAAGGCGUUGGUUGCUUAAAACAGCAGGGCGGUGGACAUGGAAGUCGUAAUCCGCUAAGGAGUGUGUAACAACUCACCUGCCGAAGCAACUAGCCCUUAAAAUGGAUGGCGCUCAAGUCAUAUGCCUAUACAUCGCCGCUAGAAUAAGCAAAUUUCUUCAAUAUUAUUGGUGAAAUUUAUAAAAUUCUAGUGAGUAGGAGGGUACAAUGGUGUGCGCAGAAGUGUUUGGCGUGAGCCUGCAUGGAGCCGCCAUUGGCACAGAUCUUGGUGGUAGUAGCAAAUAAUCGAAUGAGAUCUUGGAGGACUGAAGUGGAGAAGGGUUUCGUGUGAACAGUGGUUGAUCACGAGUUAGUCGGUCCUAAGCUCUAGGCGAAAGCUGUUCAAUUUAUGUUACAAAAAAUUGUUGUUUUCUAAUAUUUUGAUGUACAUGUAAAUUAUACAAGAGCGAAAGGGAAUACGGUUCCAAUUCCGUAACCUGUUGAGUAUACGUUUGUUUAUUAAAAAUGGGUCUUAUUAUCACUCAUCCUGGCAACAGGAACAACCAUAGAGAAGCCUUCGAGAGAUAUUGGAAGAGUUUUCUUUUCUGUUGAACAAUCGUAUCACCAUGGAAGUCUUUCGCAGAGAGAUAUGGUGAAUGGAUUGGAAGAGCAUGACAUUUACUGUUGUGUCAGUAUGUUCUCCUUGGACCUUGAAAAUCUAUGGUGGGGCCACGCAAACAUCUCAACAGUCCGUACCGAUAUCCGCAGCCGGUCUCCAAGGUGAAGAGUCUCUAGUCGAUAGAAUAAUGUAGGUAAGGGAAGUCGGCAAAUUAGAUCCGUAACUUCGGGAUAAGGAUUGGCUCUGAAGAUUGAGAUAGUCGGGCUUGAUUGGGAAACAAUUAUAACGGUUUAUGUGCUCGUUCUGGGUAAUAUAGAACUGUGCUGUGUAAAAGCGGUCAGUUCGUUCCCCGGAUAGUAGAUUUCAUAGCCAAAUUGUGGAACUUUCUUGCUGUGCUGGCGGCCGGCUUUCAUCGGUUGGUCGUCGAAAACGAUUAUCAAUAAACAAUUAAUUCAGAACUGGCACGGACCAGGGGA
rnacentral:rRNA from 1 species